CCUACGGGUGGCAGCAGUGGGGAAUAGUGCACAAUGGGGGAAACCCUGAUGCAGCGACGCCGCGUGAGUGAAGAAGGAAUUCGGUAUGUAAAGCUCUAGCAGCAGGGAAGAAACAGACGGUACCUGAGUAAGAAGCCCCGGCGAACUACGUGCCAGCAGCCGCGGUAAUACGUAGGGGGCAAGCGUUAUCCGGAUUGACUGGGGGUCCAGGGAGCGUAGACGGCGACGAAAGUCUGAAGUGAAAGCCCGCGGCUUAACCGCGGAACUGCUUUGGAAACUUUUUUGCUGGAGUACCGGAGAGGUAAGCGGACUUCCUCGUGUAGCGGUGCAAUGCGUAGAUCUUAGGAG
rnacentral:rRNA from 1 species